CCUACGGGGGGCAGCAGUGAGGAAUAUUGGUCAAUGGGCGGGAGCCUGAACCAGCCAAGCCGCGUGAGGGAAGAAGGUACAGCGUAUCGUAAACCUCUUUUGUCAGGGAACAAAGGCGGGGACUAGUCCCCGGAUGAGGGUACCUGAAGAAAAAGCAUCGGCUAACUCCGUGCCAGUAGCCGCGGUAAUACGGAGGAUGCGAGCGUUAUCCGGAUUUAUUGGGUUUAAAGGGAGCGCAGGCCGCCCCUUAAGCGUGUUGUGAAAUGCCGCGGCUCAACCGUGGCACUGCAGCGCGAACUGGGGGGUAUGAGUGAGCCGGAGGUAGGCGGAAUUCGUGGUGUAGCGGUGAAAGGCUUAGAUAGCACGAAGAACUCCGAGUGCGAAGGCAGCCUACCGUAGCGUUACUGACGCUGAGGCUCGAAGGUGCGGGGAUCGAACAGGAUUAGAUACCCUGGUAGUC
rnacentral:rRNA from 1 species